CCUACGGGGGGCAGCAGUGAGGAAUAUUGGUCAAUGGGCGCGAGCCUGAACCAGCCAAGUCGCGUGAGUGAAGACGGUCCUAUGGAUUGUAAACCUCUUUUGUCGGGGGGCAAAAGACGCCACGCGUGGCGUUCCGAGAGUACCCGAAGAAAAAGCAUCGGCUAACUCCGUGCCAGCAGCCGCGGUAAUACGGAGGAUGCGAGCUUUAUCCGGAUUGAUUGGGGUAAACGGGUGCGCAGGCGGAAGAGCAAGUCAGCGGUAAAAUUGAGAGGCUCAACCUCUUCGAGCCGUUGAAACUGGUUUUCUUGAGUGAGCGAGAAGUAUGCGGAAUGCGUGGUGUAGCGGUGAAAUGCAUAGAUAUCACGCAGAACUCCGAUUGCGAAGGCAGCACACCGGCGCUCAACUGACGCUCAUGCACGAAAGUGUGGGUAGCGAACAGGAUUAGAUACCCUAGUAGUC
rnacentral:rRNA from 1 species